GAUGAACGCUGGCGGCGCGCCUAACACAUGCAAGUCGAACGAUUAAAGCACCUUCGGGUGUGUAUAAAGUGGCGAACGGCUGAGUAACACGUGGGCAACCUGCCCCUUUCAUUGGGAUAGCCACGGGAAACCGUGGAUAAUACCGAAUACUUCGAGACUUCCGCAUGGAAGACUCGAGAAAGCUCCGGCGGAGAGGGAUGGGCCCGCGGCCUGUUAGCUUGUUGGUGGGGUAACGGCCUACCAAGGCAAUGAUGGGUAGCUGGGUUGAGAGACCGACCAGCCAGAUUGGGACUGAGACACGGCCCAGACUCCUACGGGAGGCAGCAGUGGGGAAUCUUGCACAAUGGGCGAAAGCCUGAUGCAGCGACGCCGCGUGCGGGAUGAAGGCCUUCGGGUUGUAAACCGCUUUCAGCAGGGACGAGGCGGAAGUGACGGUACCUGCAGAAGAAGCCCCGGCUAACUACGUG
rnacentral:rRNA from 1 species